rnacentral:misc_RNA from 1 species
GAUGAAGAACGUAGCGAAAUGCGAUAAGUAAUGUGAAUUGCAGAAUUCAGUGAAUCAUCGAAUCUUUGAACGCAUCUUGCGCUCCUUGGUAUUCCUUGGAGCAUGCCUGUUUGAGUAUCAUGAGCAAAUCUCAAAGUCAAUUCCUUUUGUUAAUUCAAUUGGUUUUGCUUUGGACUUGGAGGUCUUGCAGAUUUUCACAGUCUGCUCCUCUUAAAUGCAUUAGCUGGAUCUCAGUAAUUAUGCUUGGUUCCACCCGGCGUGAUAAGUAUCACUCGCUGAGGACACUGUUAAAAAGGUGGCCAGGAAAAUACUGAUUGAACCGCUUCUAACGGUCUAUUAAGUUAGACAAUUACCCUUAAGUUUGAUCUCAAAUCAGGUAGGACUACCCGCUGAACUUAAGCAUAUCAAUAAGCGGAGGA